AUGAACGCUGGCGGCGUGCCUAAUACAUGCAGGUCGAGCGAACAGAUGAGGAGCUUGCUCCUCUGACGUUAGCGGCGGACGGGUGAGUAACACGUGGAUAACCUACCUAUAAGACUGGGAUAACUUCGGGAAACCGGAGCUAAUACCGGAUAAUAUAUUGAACCGCAUGGUUCAAUAGUGAAAGACGGUUUUGCUGUCACUUAUAGAUGGAUCCGCGCCGCAUUAGCUAGUUGGUAAGGUAACGGCUUACCAAGGCAACGAUGCGUAGCCGACCUGAGAGGGUGAUCGGCCACACUGGAACUGAGACACGGUCCAGACUCCUACGGGAGGCAGCAGUAGGGAAUCUUCCGCAAUGGGCGAAAGCCUGACGGAGCAACGCCGCGUGAGUGAUGAAGGUCUUCGGAUCGUAAAACUCUGUUAUUAGGGAAGAACAAAUGUGUAAGUAACUAUGCACGUCUUGACGGUACCUAAUCAGAAAGCCACGGCUAACUACGUG
rnacentral:rRNA from 1 species